UUCAUGAUAUCUCUUAAACCUCUCCCCCUUCACUGCUUGCCCUCACAGGUUUGCGAUGGCAGAAGAACUGUAGUAAUCCAUUAUAAUUUUAUUCCCCUUUACUUAUAGAUAACUUGAAGGUCACGUUGUUCUGUUUUCUAGUUAUGCUGAUGACUCAAAUCAGGAAUGACUUUGUUGAGCUCUCCAGAUCCUUCCUGACUUCCUUCCUGAAACAAUGCAGUUGCCAAAAGCAGAAUUACGACUGGGCUGGGUGUGGUGGCUCACACCUGUAAUCCCAGCACUUAGGGAGGCCGAGGCAGAUGGAUCACCCGAGGUCAGGAGUUCAAGACCAGCUUUGCCAACAUGGUACAACUCUGGAGGACCUUCCGGAAACAGAAAACCCCAAGUGACUAGAAGACCUUGAAAAGCAGAAGAACGAUCAACCCCUUCAGUGCCUAACUACCUUGGGACAUUCUUCUAUUGUUUCUUAUUCUGGCCUCAAUUGACAAUGCCAUUGGACUGUGUAACCAACCUUGGUCAACCUUGUGACCCCCGACUCUACAACCCCCUCCCAUCUUGUAAAAUCACAAUGAGAUAUUGCUGCUUAUCCAUCAGAAUGGCUAAAAUAAUUUGGUAACAAUGUCCUAAACUGUAACUUCUGUAACUUUCCACUGCUUACCCCAAACCUAUAAAACCUACUUCUAUUCCUCUGCCCUCCACUGACUCUUUUCAGACUCAGCCUGCCUGCACCUGGGUGAAUAAACAACCACGUUGCUCACACAAAGCCUGUUUGUGGGGUCUCUUCAUUCAGAGCGCACAUUUUAACAGUAAAGUUCUGAGAAAGUAUGAACUCUUAUUUACUGCUGGUGCAGAUUAGGACAAGCUGAAAAUACUGAAACCAUGUAAUGAUGGGGUUCGGAGGCAUUGCUCCAAAUAUGACUGUAGAAGACCAGAAUAUGUUGCCCCAGAUAUGCCUCUUUUGCAUAAGAAUGAUUUUGAACUGGUUAUUUUGAGAAACUGUACACAUAGGACAAGCUCUGAAAAGUUACCCUUUUGUAACAUAAAUUUACAUCCAUAGAGAAACUGUUCCAUUUCCAAGAAACUGUUCACUUCCUUUCUGCACCAGGAAGAGAAAGAUAAUUAAAUCAUCAGAGACUCUUAAUCAAUGGAGAAGGCAUUGAUUAAAACCUGCACAACAAUAAUUCCUAACAACUGUAAUUUACAACUCAGGUAUUCAAAUCUAGACACUUAAGUUUUGUACUCCUUUGCAUGUAGGAGAAAUCGUUAUUUAUUUUUCUGAGACCUCCGGGGUCUUGCUCUGUCGCCAAGGCCGGAACACAGUGGCAUGAUCUCGGCUCACUGCAACCUCCAUCUGCCAGGUUCAAGUGAUUCUUCCAUCUCAGACUCUCUAGUACCACAGGCAUGUGCCACCCCAUGCCUGGCUAAUUUUUCUAUUUUUAGUAAAGGCAAGGUUUUGCCAUGAUGACCAGGCUGGUCUCUAACUCCUGACCUCAGGUGAUCUCCCCACCUUGGCUUCCCAAAGUGCUGGGAUUACAGGUGUGAGCCACUUCACCCAGCCCAGAAAUAGGUAUUAUAGUGAAAAAAUUGGAAACAACCUAAGUAUAUAUUGAAAAGAAAACCUCUAAAUAAGUACUGAUCCACUGUUAAAAGAAACUAGGUAUGUAUGUAACAAGACAGAUGGAUCUCAUAAGUAAACUGUUGAGUGACAAAACUGUAGAAUAAAUGCAGUCUAACAUUUAUAUAGAUACACAAAUAUGAUAGUUCAUGAUGUGACUAUGGAUUCAUAUAUACGAAGUAGGAUGAGUUAUGUAGAAUUGUUUUUGUUAAGUCAGAAGUAGUUAAAUACCAGAAAAUUCAUAUCAGUCCACCUGUUAGGAAAAUAAUUACAAGCUGGAAGGAUUAACACCAAAUUCAUCAUAGAUGGGUAUAGAAGGUAACAAAAACGACCUUUUUUUAUAAAGAGAAUGGGGUCUCACUCUGUUGUCCAGGCUGGUCUUGAACUCCUGGCCUCAAGUGAUCCUCCUGCCUAUGCCUCCCAAAGUGCUGGGAUUAUAGGCAUGAGCCACUGUGCGUGGCACAAAAAUGACUUUAUUGGAAAUAUUUUUCUUAGAUUAAAAAAACGGCCAGGCACAGUAGGGCAUGUCUGUAAUCCCAGCAGUUUAGGAAGCCAAGAUGAGUGGAUCUUUUGAGGUCAAGCGUUUGAGACCAGCCUGGCCAACCUAGUGAAACCCUGUUUCUACUAAAAAUACAAAAAACAAAAACAAAACUAAAAAAAACCAACAGGGUGUGGUGGUGCGUGCCUGUA